rnacentral:ncRNA from 1 species
CGGCACUCUGGAGACGCCCGCCGUCUGCGCGGGGGCCGAAGGUGAAAGCGGCGGGAAGCGCCGCGAAUCUCUCAGGCAAAAGGACAGAGU